rnacentral:rRNA from 1 species
UGGGGAAUUUUGGACAAUGGGCGAAAGCCUGACCCAGCAAUGCCGCGUGUGUGAAGAAGGCCUUCGGGUUGUAAAGCACUUUUGUCCGGAAAGAAAUCCUUGGCUCUAAUACAGUCGGGGGAUGACGGUACCGGAAGAAUAAGCACCGGCUAACUACGUGCCAGCAGCCGCGGUAAUACGUAGGGUGCAAGCGUUAAUCGGAAUUACUGGGCGUAAAGCGUGCGCAGGCGGUUUGCUAAGACCGAUGUGAAAUCCCCGGGCUCAACCUGGGAACUGCAUUGGUGACUGGCAGGCUAGAGUAUGGCAGAGGGGGGUAGAAUUCCACGUGUAGCAGUGAAAUGCGUAGAGAUGUGGAGGAAUACCGAUGGCGAAGGCAGCCCCCUGGGCCAAUACUGACGCUCAUGCACGAAAGCGUGGGGAGCAAACAGGAUUAGAUACCCUGGUAGUCCACGCCCUAAACGAUGUCAACUAGUUGUUGGGGAUUCAUUUCCUUAGUAACGUAGCUAACGCGUGAAGUUGACCGCCUGGGGAGUACGGUCGCAAGAUUAAAACUCAAAUGAAUUGAC